rnacentral:lncRNA from 1 species
GACGCCACUAAAAAGCACCCGAUUCCCGGCGGUGAUCGUGUAUGUUCGGAGAAAAAUUCGGUCGUUUGACGUGAAUGACAAGAAUAACGACACGAAUGUUCCCGCGUUUGUUAGUUGUUUACUUACGUAAAAAAGCUCCAACUAAUUUGAUCAAUUAUUGCGAUUAUACUGAAUUUGUUUCUUUGUGAAAUAUUGACCAUAUUGUUGCUUAUAGUGUUUUAAAAUAAUACCUGAAAAGCUGUAUCAAUUCCAAUUUAGCGAUUUUAGCUGUAAAGAUGGACGGCCCUACUCAAAACUAUCAGAAUCAGGACCAAAUUAUCAACAAAAAUUUGUGCCACUUAUGCAGUAAAAUGUUUUCUUCCAUUUCAGCAUUGAACAAACAUAUUAAAGUUAUUCAUAAGCAGCAGCUCCCAGAUAACCCAAAGUCACACAUUUCUUGUCCCUAAUGCAAAGAGACUAAGUAUUCUUGCGAGACUUAUUAAAGACUUGAAGCUCAUUUACAGGUUAAGUCAUGAUAUCAAAAUAGAGUCCUCAACUUUCCAUUUUUCCAGUGAAGAAACAUUUGAGGAAUGGUUAAGAGAGCAUAGAAUAAGCACAAACUAUGCACUUGUUCGCACAAGGAAAAUUGAAGACAAGAUUAAAAAAGUAUAUUGUUGCAAUCGAAGUGAUCUUAGAGGUAAUUUGUAGCAAUUUCAAUUGUUCAUUAUGGUAUGUGAGCAAAGGAAGGGAAGCGAUUCUGUUUUAGGUGAACUCCUCGGGCAAUGUUCUUUCAAUAAUAUUGAAGCUAGCCAUAGUCUAGAAGUUGAAACAUUUGUUAAUGAAAAGACAACUAAAAAUCAACAAGUAGCAGUACAACGAUUGAACAAGCAAUCAACAAGAGAAAUUGAAAGUGUAUCAAACUUUUUAAGAUCUUUAAAUGAUGAAACUUAUGAUAAGUGCAUGAGACAACUGACAUCAAUGAUGGAACAGAUAAAUAAUACAAAUACACAAGUAAACGAAAAAUGGACAAACAGGUUUAUUUUCCAUCAAAGAAGAAGAAGGAGCAGUAAAUAAAAAUAAUUAAAUGUAUAUUUUUUCUAUUUAUCAGUAUUUUUUUUUAUAUAAUAGUAGGUAUAUUUUUAUAGGUUUAACUAUAUAUGUAUGUAUAUGUGUAUUAUAAUUUUUUAUGUAAGUUUUAGGCAAAUAUUUGAAGUAAAUAUUUUAAGUUUCUUGCAGUUUCUUCUUAUGAGUAUUAAUCGAAACUGCGAAUUGUAAAUUAGUAUUUUAGCAUAAAAUAAUUAAGUUUCUUUUCAAAUCAGUCAUAAACAUGUCUUUGCAGCAUUUAUAAAAUAAAAAUUGUUAAUAUAUGAUA